GUGCCCGUAGCUCAGUUGGAUAGAGCAACGGAUUUCUAAUCCGUAGGUCGCAGGUUCGAGUCCUGCCGGGCACA
rnacentral:tRNA from 1 species